rnacentral:rRNA from 1 species
UACGUAGGGUGCAAGCGUUGUCCGGAAUUAUUGGGCGUAAAGAGCUCGUAGGCGGUCUGUCGCGUCGGAUGUGAAAAUCCAGGGCUCAACCCUGGACCUGCAUUCGAUACGGGCAGACUUGAGUUCGGCAGGGGAGACUGGAAUUCCUGGUGUAGCGGUGAAAUGCGCAGAUAUCAGGAGGAACACCGGUGGCGAAGGCGGGUCUCUGGGCCGAUACUGACGCUGAGGAGCGAAAGCGUGGGGAGCGAACAGG